GCCCUCGUUGAUCAAUGGAGAUGAUUGUUGUAUCGAUCACAACGGAGUCAGUGGGCAGCGGGGGUUCGACUCCCCCCGAUGGCA